UACGGAGGGUGCAAGCGUUAUCCGGAUUUACUGGGUUAAAGGGUGCGUAGGUGGGCAGUUAAGUCAGUGGUGAAAUCUCCGAGCUUAACUCGGAAACUGCCAUUGAUACUAUCUGUCUUGAAUAUCCUGGAGGUGAGCGGAAUAUGUCAUGUAGCGGUGAAAAUGCUUAGAUAUGACAUAGAACACCAAUUGCGAAGGCAGCUCACUACGGGAUUAUUGACACUGAGGCACGAAAAGCGUGGGGAUCAAACAGG
rnacentral:rRNA from 1 species